GAAAGGACAGUCAUUCCCUGGAAAGAGGGAGGAGUGUUUGGGGGCUGCUGGGAAAUGCUGCAGGAAGGCAGGCAGCAGUCACUCCCUGGGAAGAGGGUUCUUGGAGCUGGUACACACAAAGAGAGAGAAGGGGAACCAGAGAGUAGGAAGCAAUCUAGGGAAGGAGCAGAGAGAGGAAGCCCCGAACUGUUGAGCUGAGGGUCUGUAGGCUGGAGCCCAGAGCAAAGGGUGGCCUGGGUUCCCCUACCAGCUACUGAGGGCUUGGUGUAGAACUGAGCUAAUGGGCAGACUGCCUAGGCCUGCGGAGGGACUGUACCCCAGAAGGGGGAACGCUGAGUGACCUUACUGGACGAGUAAAUCACACAGGAGAUGCUGGGGGCUCUGGAGCGAGAGGAGCUGCAGACCAGAGUUGGAGCGACGGUGUGCAAACGGUGGAGGGGGUUGUCUAACUCAGGAGCUAAUCCCCAGGGUGACCAGCAGGAAGCGCCAGACCAUUGCUUCCCUCAGCACUUGUAUCGACACGCUCUUGUGUGUAGACAACCCUGCUAAAAGUUGGGUAGAGGAAAUAUAACACUUGAGAGCCAAACAAGGGUCCAAAGACAUGAAUCUGUUUAGUUGGAGCUUCAAGUUGGUGGAACGUGGGAGGGUUUGAAGUUGCCUUUCAAAUUCUCAUGCUCACCUCUGAACCCACCUUGUAAUAAAUAUUUUAAAGUUUUAUUCAAACUGCUCCAAAUGGUUUAUAGAUUCCCAAGCGAAUCACAAAAUUGCCUAAGAAAAGAGGAGCCCUGAAGAUGAAAUGAGCUCUGCAGCAGCAAAGACAGACUGAACAUUAAAUAUUGCAAUAAUUCAUAAAAGCACCACAUUCUCAGACUCUUCAGACUCUAAGACUCUACCUGUGAAAGAAUAUUAAAGCUCAGAUCAUCUGGGCUGAUUCUGCAGCCAAUGAAAUCAAUGGCAAAACAUUUCCCCCUGUAUCCCCCACACCUCUGGGAUGCUGGGCUCAUCUCCGGCUAAAGGGAAGCAUUUUUGUGGGAGCCUCUCAUUACAAGAUUGGCAGCACUUACUGGAAUGGAGCCUGUGAAGCAGGUAAAUAUUAAUAACCCUCCGUUUGUCUAAGCCUGCCUUUUGCCUCUGUUACCUUGCCAAGUGUUUUGCCCAAGUCUAAAUAAGUUACUUGGUGGCAGAGCUAAGAACAUAACCCUCAGACUUAGGGGGAGUAGCUCUUGCUCCUUCACUUAACUCCACCUCCACCAAGCUUGUCAUUUCAUUAAGACAUAAUUACAUACGGCCUCUCUUUUCGCUGUGCAAGAUGUUUGUUCCCAUGCACGAAUCCCCCCCCCCCCUUAAAAGCAAAAUCAUUUUUGGAAGUACCCAAACUGAGAUGUCUGUUAUGACUCCUCCAACAUGUUGAUCCAUGCAGGGCUGCAGCUUGGAUGGAAGGUUUGCAUUGCACAAAUGCAUGGGUAGGGGAUCAGAAGUGGUUUGGCACUAGAAGGCAUUGACCCACCAUCGGACAAAGCACAUGAACCCAGAGCAGAACUGCAGAGUGGGGCCACUGAUUAUUUCUCACUGUAUGUGAAAGGGAAAACAAAUCAGGGACCCAGGAGAUCUGUGACCUGGGAUAGUCAGCAAUCCAGCCAUUACUCUGGGUGUAAUUUACUCUGGCUUUUUUUUUAAAUUUCAGAGUGAGUGGUGGUCUUGCUCAGCCACUUACUAUAUUAAAUACCAAACAGAUCUUGGCUGUUUUUGAAAUCAGUGCUGUCCUUUGGAAAUGGCCCACUUGCAAGCUACUUCAGGUUCUUACUCUAGGUCCUAUCUGCUCAGCAGGGUUUUACCUUAUCUUCUUUCUCUUCUCGUUUCUAAACAUACAGGUAGCACAGUAUGUCCCCAUGACAGGGUUCACAGACUCCACACUAAACCAGAGCAAGGCAUCAGGCAAUCCUGAGCUAGGCAGGCACUGCCCCUCAACAGCUGCUGGGCAUGUUCCAGGUGGAAGGACAGUUUAAAAGAACACCAGAGGCUGGUGGGAAAGGAGUUACAGGCUGCACCUGGAACCGUGGGAAGAGUGACCACAGCAUUAGUAAGGCCAUCUAGAAGUGGUGAUCCAUAUCUCCUCCUCCUUUUGGACUUAGAAACCCAUGAGAGGCCCCAAAGAAUAGGAGGAUGUCUCGCUGACAGACCAUGUGACCAUGCCCCAAAUGAAGGCACCAUAGCCCCAUAGGAAAUGAACGGGGAGACUGUAUCUUGGGGUGGACCGACAAGCGCUGCCAGACGCUGUCACACCCCUUUAGGGCCCUGGGUUGGGACCCUCUGGAGUGGGGGCGGCUGCUCCCAAGUCCCUCUGUUGUGACAGAACCCUGAGGUGAGUAGAAGGGGUACAGGCUAGGGACUAAGGCCCACCAGGUAGGACAUGGCAGGGUCCCCUCCAGAAUAAGCAGGCUGAAGAGAACUGCCUGGCCACUAGGCCGGCUGGCUGUCAGACUGAGCUGCUGCACUCUCUUGAAGCCUGAAUCUAGGGACUAAGGUCUUAACCCAUUGCGUUAUAUACUGUCUCUCAGCCAAAGGAAACCAGACCCCCGCAAAUAAGGUUAAACACUGGACUAGUGCUGGCUGGAGAGGUAUAUAAAUAGACACAUUCUACAUUAGAUUCUCCAUUUGUCCCGAAGGUGUGCUUGGCCCAGGAGCUGGGGGCAUGGAGGUUUUAAGGUACCUUUGAGCUUCCACUAUGGUGGAGUGAGCUGGAGGCUUGCUUGCCUCCUGGUGUGAGUUCAAGCAUCUUCAGGCUCUGGUUCUGGGCCACAGGGCUGGGUAAGCCACAGUUCCAUGACUCCAAAGUGGUUGGGUGCCUCUCGCAAUGUUUCUUGGACGAGCCAUGGCUGACGUUUGCAUAAGUCAAGGAUGAGGCCUGAUGACACAUCAUCUCAGAACAGCACUGGCAGCUUUUCCUUCUGGGUUUUAUUUUUAUUCUACUACUUAACUCUGAGAAAUAAUAAAUCACAAGAAAUACGUCCUCAGAAAUUCAUGCCCAGGGCUGGGGCUUUUUCUAAAUAGCUUCAACUCUUUGGGGACUGGAUACUACUGAGCAAGAAUUACCAUAAUUAACCAUAGUAAAAUGCCUGCCAUUUGAUGUCUGAGACUUAAAAGCUUCUGUUGGGAUCCAGACAGUUUUGAAAACAAGCCUCUAUGGCCUAAUUAAGAGGAAGAGAAGGAGAGGGGCGGGUGGUGUGGAAGGAAAUUCAGGGUGGACUUUGGAGUUCUUGGGGGAGGGAGAAAGAGAGAGGAAUGAGGCUGGAAUUCUCCAGUCCAAGAUAUAGCCCUGGAGCAGGUUGUGUGACCUCUUCUGUCCCAUGACGCUUGCUCUCAGUGUGACACCGGGACAUUCAAAAUCCAAUAGUGCACCUCAUUGGUGAGAGAGGCCCCUUUGUCACUCUUGUGUGUUGACGCUGCUUGUGUAAAUGUAACGUUUAAGCAUGCAGGUUACAUAAACCCUUGUGGCCAGAUUCUGAACUCGGAUACACCAGUAUCAAUCUGCAGUAACUCCAUUGAUGACUUCAGUGCAGUUAUUCAGCGUUCAGGGCCUGAUCCAGCAUCCACUGAAGUCCACGGAAACACUCCUAUUGACUUCAAUGGGGUUUGGCUAUUGCAUUGGUGUAAAUUAUAGUCCAGGCCCCCAGUUGCUCAGGAGUUGUAAGUGACCAGUGAGUUCCGUGCAAGGGGCCAGCUUGGGAAUGUUAUGUAUGGUUGUACAGAAUGGAUAUAAAUAUAUCAAAUGUAGUGCAAAAUGGGUAAAUCCAUUUUGUGAUUUCCCUGUCUUGAGCAAGGGAGCAUCAAUUAAAUUUUGUGCUUGUUUGCUCAAGGCCAUAAGCGGCUUUUAAAGGAUUCAGAUAAUUGCUAUAAAAAUGUUUUUCCACUAACUGUGCCGUGUUAUUAUAACACAAAUAUUCUUAUAGCAAUAUGGUCCUGGGGCCAGAUCCUGAGCAGGUAUAGAUUAGCACUGUAAAUCCAUUGACUUCAAUGGAGCUACACCAAUUGACACCAUCUGAAGAUCUGGCAAUGAGCAUCUAGGUUGUUAUACCAUUAGCAUUGUUUAUGUGUCUUGGGCCAGAUCCACAGUUCAGCCAAGAUCCUAAGAAUUGAAGUCAAAGGAGCUAUGCUGACUUAUGCCAGCUGAAGUUCUGAUCCACUGACUUCCGUGGAAAUAUACUGAAUUACAUCUGCUGAGGAUCUGGCCCAUUGACUUUGACGGAGCUAUGUCAAUUUACACGGUAAGAUGAUUUGGUUCACAUGUAUUUAGACUUGUUUGUUUCCUACCGAGACAUAAGGAAGGGACCCUCUUUUUUUUUUUCUAUCCUGUAUUUUAGGAAGCAGGAGGGGUACAUGGUUAUGUGUUUCAGCCUCUAGCAGAGUCAGUAAUAGUACAGGUCUACAAUGUAAGACACUUUUUGUAAGUUACAGUGUUAAUCAGUAAAAUCAUUUCCUUGUUCUUAACUUGUGUGAUCUUAUAAUGAUUGAGAACCUGGAGGCUUCUAACCAGAGCCAGUUAGGAAUUUUUUGAUUAAACUUUUUUUUGUC